rnacentral:rRNA from 3 species
CCCCCCUCAAGAUGAGAUUUCCCAACUUCGGUUAUAAGAUCCCUCAAAGAUGAUGAGGUUAAUAGGUUCGAGGUGGAAGCGUGGUGACACGUGGAGCUGACGAAUACUAAUCGAUCGAAGACUUAAUCAAUUU